UGCUUUACCAAUGCGAGUCGUGCGGGCUCUCGAAAGAGAGCUAGCGGCGUCCGGGUGCGUAACACGUGGGUGACCUACCUUUGCGUGGGGGAUACCCGCCCGAAAGGGUGGCUAAUACCGCAUAGGCUGUAGUCCUUUGGGAGUACAGCAAAGCCCGCAAGGGCGCGUAAAGAGGGGCCCGCGGCCUAUCAGCUUGAUGGUGAGGUAAUGGCUCACCAUGGCAUUGACGGGUAGCCGGUCUGAGAGGACGAACGGCCACAGUGGGACUGAAAUAUGGUCCACAGCCCUGCGGGGUUUAGCAUGGAGGAAUCUUGCGCAACGGCAGAGAUGUCGGCGCAGCAACGCCGCGUGGGGGAUGAAGGCUCUUGGGUCGUAAACCCC
rnacentral:rRNA from 1 species